rnacentral:SRP_RNA from 1 species
GCUGGGCAUGGUGGCGUGUGCCUAUAGUCCUAGCUACUCGGGAGGCUGAGGUGGGAGGAUUGCUUGAGCCCGGGAGGCAGAGGUUGCAGUGAGCCGAGAUCGUGCCACUGCACUUCAGCCUGGGCAAAAGAGUGAGACCCUGUCUCUA